rnacentral:rRNA from 1 species
UACGUAGGAUGCAAGCGUUGUCCGGAAUUAUUGGGCGUAAAGAGCUCGUAGGCGGUUUGUCGCGUCUGCUGUGAAAACUGGAGGCUCAACCUCCAGCCUGCAGUGGGUACGGGCAAACUAGAGUGCGGUAGGGGGAGAUUGGAAUUCCUGGUGUAGCGGUGGAAUGCGCAGGAUAUCAGGAGGAACACCGAUGGCGAAGGCAG